UACGGCUAUAAUACGUUGAAGCACUGGUUCUCGUACGCAUCACCGAAGUUAAGCAACAUCAGGCCAAGUCAGUACCUCGUUGGGUGACCGCUUGAGAAUAAUUCG